UACGUAGGGUGCGAGCGUUAAUCGGAAUUACUGGGCGUAAAGCGUGCGCAGGCGGUUCGUUGUGUCGGGGGGGAAAGCCCCGGGCUUAACCUGGGAACUGCGCUUGUAACUGGCAAGCUAGAGUGUGGCAGAGGGGGGUGGAAUUCCACGUGUAGCAGUGAAAUGCGUAGAGACGUGGAGGAACACCGAUGGCGAAGGCAGCCCCCUGGGCUAACACUGACGCUCAUGCACGAAAGCGUGGGGAGCAAACAGG
rnacentral:rRNA from 1 species